CUGAGUGCACAUGCCAUGGUGUGUAUAUUGUAAUACAAAGAAAUGAGGCACAGAAGGACUUAAUGAGUACCAAUGAACUGAUCUGGAGGGCUGUAUUCACAUCCUGGAUUGCAAAAAUUAACUGGAUUUUGUCUCCUGAAUUUCUGCAGUGCACCAACUGAUACCAUGCUGGAAAAAUAACACACUUCAAUGUUUUUCCAAGUGCUGCCCAGCACGGGGAUCCGUGUGCUGGGACAGUGACUGGCAGCAGGAAGGGGAGCCUUGGCCUCACCUGCCCAGCUCAGGCCAGGCCAAAGCCCUGCUCCAGCCCAGCUCUGCCAAGUGCCCUGGGCUGGGAGCAGCCAAAGGCAAGAGGCUGCAGCCCCGCCGGCCGGGCUGGGGGCUCCUGGUGCUGCCCGUGGGGUGGGGUAAGUCAGAGGGACACGUUUCUCUCCUCCUGGUGUUGGCAUUUGCUCCCUGGGCACUGGAUGUGUAAGGAAGGACGGAGUAGCAGGGAAGGGGAGUGUUUCCAAACUGUCUGAAUGUUGCCCCCAGGUUUGGGAUGGAGCAGGGAUGGGGGUGGUUG